rnacentral:rRNA from 1 species
AAAUUGAAGAGUUUGAUCAUGGCUCAGAUUGAACGCUGGCGGCAGGCCUAACACAUGCAAGUCGAACGGUAACAGGAAGCAGCUUGCUGCUUCGCUGACGAGUGGCGGACGGGUGAGUAAUGUCUGGGAAGCUGCCUGAUGGAGGGGGAUAACUACUGGAAACGGUGGCUAAUA